rnacentral:rRNA from 1 species
GAUGAACGCUGGCGGCGUGCCUAACACAUGCAAGUCGAACGGAAAGGCCCUGCUUUUGCGCGGUGCUCGAGUGGCGAACGGGUGAGUAACACGUGAGUAACCUGCCCUUGUCUUUGGGAUAACUUCAGGAAACUGGGGCUAUUAUCCGAUAGGAUCUCCUGCUGCACGGUGGGGGUUGGUAAGUUUCGGCUGUUGGGGCUGGACUCGCGGGUUAUCCGCUUGUUUGGGGGGUAGGGGCUUUCCAAGGCUUUGACGGGUAGCCGGCCUGAGAGGGUGACCGGCCACAUUGGGACUGAGAGACGGCGCAGACGCCUACGGGAGGCAGCAGUGGGGAGUAUUGCACAAUGGGCGGGAGCCUGAGGCGGCAACGCCGCGUGCGGGAUGACGGCCUUCGAGGUGUGAACCGCUUUCGCCUGUGACGAAGCGUGAGUGACGGUAAUGGGUAAAGAAGCACCGGCUAACUACGUG